GAUGAACGCUGGCGGCGUGCUUAACACAUGCAAGUCGAACGGAAAGGCCGAAGCUUGCUUCGGUACUCGAGUGGCGAACGGGUGAGUAACACGUGGGUGAUCUGCCCUGUACUUCGGGAUAAGCUUGGGAAACUGGGUCUAAUACCGGAUAUGACGAUCUCUUGGAUGGGGUUGUGGAAAGCUUUUGCGGUAUGGGAUGAGCUCGCGGCCUAUCAGCUUGUUGGUGGGGUAAUGGCCUACCAAGGCGUCGACGGGUAGCCGGCCUGAGAGGGUGUACGGCCACGUUGGGACUGAGAUACGGCCCAGACUCCUACGGGACGCAGCAGUGGGGAAUAUUGCACAAUGGGCGCAAGCCUGAUGCAGCGACGCCGCGUGGGGGAUGACGGCCUUCGGGUUGUAAACUCCUUUCGCAAUCGACGAAGCCUUUUGGUGACGGUAGGUUGAGAAGAAGCACCGGCUAACUACGUG
rnacentral:rRNA from 1 species